rnacentral:rRNA from 1 species
GUCGAGCGAGCGGAACCAACAGAUUUACUUCGGUAAUGACGUUGGGAAAGCGAGCGGCGGAUGGGUGAGUAACACGUGGGGAACCUGCCCCUAAGUCUGGGAUACCAUUUGGAAACAGGUGCUAAUACCGGAUAAUAAAGCAGAUCGCAUGAUCAGCUUUUGAAAGGCGGCGUAAGCUGUCGCUAAGGGAUGGCCCCGCGGUGCAUUAGCUAGUUGGUAAGGUAACGGCUUACCAAGGCGACGAUGCAUAGCCGAGUUGAGAGACUGAUCGGCCACAUUGGGACUGAGACACGGCCCAAACUCCUACGGGAGGCAGCAGUAGGGAAUCUUCCACAAUGGACGCAAGUCUGAUGGAGCAACGCCGCGUGAGUGAAGAAGGUUUUCGGAUCGUAAAGCUCUGUUGUUGGUGAAGAAGGAUAGAGGUAGUAACUGGCCUUUAUUUGACGGUAAUCAACCAGAAAGUCACGGCUAACUACGUGCCAGCAGCCGCGGUAAUACGUAGGUGGCAAGCGUUGUCCGGAUUUAUUGGGCGUAAAGCGAGCGCAGGCGG